rnacentral:rRNA from 1 species
UACAGAGGGUGCGAGCGUUAAUCGGAAUUACUGGGCGUAAAGCGCGCGUAGGCGGCUUUGCAAGUCGGGUGUGAAAUCCCCAGGCUCAACCUGGGAACUGCAUUCGAGACUGCAUUGCUAGAGUAUGGGAGAGGGAAGUGGAAUUUCAGGUGUAGCGGUGAAAUGCGUAGAUAUCUGAAGGAACAUCAGUGGCGAAAAGCGACUUCCUGGACCAAUACUGACGCUCAUGUGCGAAAGCGUGGGGGAGCAAACAGG